rnacentral:misc_RNA from 1 species
UGCCAAAGGAGAGUAAGAGUCCUUGUAAGUUUUCCGAUUUUUCUUCUUCAUUAAAUGUUGUUUGAUUCACUAAUUGCUUAUUAUUACAUAAUUUUUAUAUUUAAGCAUUUUUAUCUAAAAACUAUACCCUUAAUUAAGAAACUCUCACAUUUUUUUAAUUAUUCAAAUUAGAAAGCUGUUUGUUGAGUUGCUGGCCACUUGCCCCACUACAAUAAUAAUAUAGAAACAAUGACCAUUGGAGGGGUUAUUCCUAGGUUUUUUUUUAAUAUAUUUUUUUUGUUAUUGUGUACUAUAUUUUAUAAUAGCAAAAAAAAAAAAAAUCUAAGUUAUCUAUUCUACCUAGGGGGUCUUUUCAUUAUUUAUUAUGCAACACUGGUUUGGGUUCUUCACACAUCAUAGGUAUCA